rnacentral:rRNA from 1 species
ACCCGCUGAAUUUAAGCAUAUCACUAAGCGGAGGAAAAGAAACUAACCAGGAUUCCCCUAGUAACGGCGAGUGAAGAGGGAAUAGCCCAGCACCGAAGCCUGCGGCAGAUUUGCUGUUAGGCAAUGUGGUGUUUGGGUCGGCUCGCGGGAUUGCCACUCCACUCGAAGUCCAGCAUUGAGUAUGGUCACUGGAUUUGGCCCAGAGAGGGUGAAAGGCCCGUACGGGUGGAGGUUCAGACAUGUAAGGCAAUUCACCAGGCCGGCCUUAGAGUCGGGUUGUUUGAGAAUGCAGCCCUAAGAGGGUGGUAAACUCCAUCCAAGGCUAAAUACUAACACGAGUCCGAUAGCGAACAAGUACCGUGAGGGAAAGUUGAAAAGUACUUUGAAGAGAGAGUAAACAGUACGUGAAACCGCAUGCAGGUAAACGGGUGGCGUCAAGCUGCAGGCCCGGAGGAUUCAGCUGGCUAGGAUGUUGUGAUGCGCCUGACGCGUCUAUCGGUCGGAAUAAGAUGUUGUAGUCCACUGGUAAACGGUGGGCCUGGUCGCAAGGCUGGGUUGUGUGUACUGAGCGGAAGCCGGAGCACACUGCACGUCUGUUGGAUCGUCUAGUCAGUGCACUUUCUCUGUGGCCAACACCACGACCGGUGGUAUUGCCAGUCUGCUGUAGCCAAGUCGUGUCUAGUCGGUUCUUGUAAUCAACUGGGUGCGAUCACAGGCAAACUCAGUAAACGGCGUAGAGGUGUUUCGGCACUUUUGCGUGAUAUCGGCUACUGGUUGUCAACGGGCCUGCCUGAUGAUUGUUGUAACCGUCAUUAGGUGGUUCGGUGGGCUAUGGUGGUAAGAAUAACUGUGCAAGGCACCGGAGGUUUCGAUCUCAAAUGCAGCCUGCAUCCACGUUGCAAGUGGUGUGGGGUGCCGUUGCAGCCUGCCUAUGUAAGGUCUGAUUGUCGUGUCGCCUGCGCAAAGUAGGCCCGGCGAUGGCCUCGUGUAGGAUGGGCUGUGGAUGGUGCCUCCUGUGUGGGUUGUUGUGGGUCAAAUAGUCAGUGGUGUGGUGGUAGACGAGCUACCCGACCCGUCUUGAAACACGGACCAAGGAGUUUAACAUGUAUGCGAGUCAAAGGGCCAUACGAAACCCCAAGGCGCAGUGAAAGUAAAGCUUCGACUUGUCUCGGAGUGAGGUGAGAUCCUGCCGUUACUCGCAUCAGUCUUUUGCUAGCAUCAGGCUAAGAGCGGUAGGCGCAUCACCGGCCCGUCCCAUGAUGUGGCCAUUGGAUGUCUGCGGUCGUUGCUUGCAGCGG